UACAGAGGGGGCAAGCGUUGUUCGGAAUUACUGGGCGUAAAGGGCGCGUAGGCGGCCUUCUAAGUCGAACGUGAAAUCCCCGGGCUCAACCCGGGAACUGCGUCCGAUACUGGAAGGCUUGAAUCCGGGAGAGGGAUGUGGAAUUCCAGGUGUAGCGGUGAAAUGCGUAGAUAUCUGGAGGUACACCGGUGGCGAAGGCGGCAUCCUGGGCCGGUAUUGACGCUGAGGAGCGAAAGCCAGGGGAGCAAACGGG
rnacentral:rRNA from 1 species